CUCUCCGUAGCUCAGUUGGUAGAGCAAAUGACUCUUAAUCAUUGGGUCGAAGGUUCGAGUCCUUCCGGGGAGA
rnacentral:tRNA from 1 species